AGUGAACGCUGGCGGUAGGCCUAACACAUGCAAGUCGAACGGCAGCACAGUAAGAUCGUGCUCUUACGGGUGGCGAGUGGCGGACGGGUGAGGAGUACAUCGGAAUCUACUUUUUCGUGGGUGAUAACGUAGGGACACUUACGCUAAUACCGCAUACGAUCUACGGGUGAAAUCAGUAGAUCUUCGGACCUUUGGCGAUUGGUAUAGCCGAUGCCGGAUUAGCUAGUUGGGGUGGUAAAGGCCCACCAAGGCAACGAUCCGUAGCUGGUCUGAGAGGAUGAUCGGCCACACUGGAACUGAGACACGGUCCAGACUCCUACGGGAGGCAGCAGUGGGGAAUAUUCGACAAUGGGCGAAAGCCUGAUCCAGCCAUGCCGCGUGAGUGAAGAAGGCCUUCGGGUUGUAAAGCCCUUUUAUUAGGGAAGAACAGCAGCAGAAUAAUACACCGAUGUUCUGACGGUACCCAAACAGAAAGCCCCGGCUAACUUCGUG
rnacentral:rRNA from 1 species